rnacentral:rRNA from 1 species
CAGCCGCCACGGGAAUACGAAGGGUGCAAGCGUUAAUCGGAAUUACUGGGCGUAAAGCGUGCGUAGGCGGUGAGUUAAGUCUGCUGUGAAAUCCCCGGGCUCAACCUGGGAAUGGCAGUGGAUACUGGCUCGCUAGAGUGUGUCAGAGGAUGGUGGAAUUCCCGGUGUAGCGGUGAAAUGCGUAGAGAUCUGGAGGAACAUCAGUGGCGAAGGCGGCCAUCUGGGACAACACUGACGCUGAGGCACGAAAGCGUGGGGAGCAAACAGGAUUAGAUACCCCAGUAGUCCCUGUCUCUUAUAC